rnacentral:rRNA from 1 species
CCUACGGGUGGCAGCAGUGAGGAAUAUUGGUCAAUGGACGAGAGUCUGAACCAGCCAAGCAGCGUGAAGGAUGACUGCCCUAUGGGUUGUAAACUUCUUUUAUACGGGAAUAAAGUGAGGCACGUGUGCCUUUCUGUAUGUACUUUAUGAAUAAGGAUCGGCUAACUCCGUGCCAGCAGCCGCGGUAAUACGGAGGAUCCGAGCGUUAUCCGGAUUUAUUGGGUUUAAAGGGAGCGUAGAUGGGUUGUUAAGUUAGUUGUGAAAGUUUGCGGCUCAACCGUAAAAUUGCAAUUGAUACUGGUAGCCUUGAGAGCAGUUGCGGUAGGCGGAAUGCGUGGUGUAGCGGUGAAAUGCUUAGAGAUCACGAAGAACUCCGAUUGCGAAGGCAGCUUACUAAGCUGCCACUGACAUUGAUGCUCGAAAGUGUGGGUAGCAAACAGGAUUAGAUACCCUGGUAGUC